rnacentral:rRNA from 1 species
UCGAGAAUCUUCCGCAAUGGGCGAAAGCCUGACGGAGCGACGCCGCGUGGUUGAUGAAGUCCUUCGGGACGUAAAAACCUUUUAUGAGGGAGGAAGUUAUUGACGUUACCUCAUGAAUAAGGGGCUCCUAACUCUGUGCCAGCAGGAGCGGUAAUACAGAGGCCCCAAGCAUUAUCCGGAAUCACUGGGCGUAAAGGGUGUGUAGGUGGCGUUAUUAGUCUUUUGUUAAAGUCCUCGGGCUUAACCCAAGGAAUGCAGGGGAAACGGUAGCGCUUAGAGGACGUGAGAGGUAGAGGGAACUCAUGGUGUAGGGGUGAAAUCCGUUGAUAUCAUGGGGAACACCAAAUGCGAAGGCACUCUACUGGCGCGCUCCUGACGCUGAAACACGAAAGCGUGGGAAUCGAACGGGAUUAGAUACCCCCGUAGUCC